rnacentral:rRNA from 1 species
GAUGAACGCUGGCGGCGUGCCUAAUACAUGCAAGUCGAGCGAACAGACGAGGAGCUUGCUCCUCUGACGUUAGCGGCGGACGGGUGAGUAACACGUGGAUAACCUACCUAUAAGACUGGGAUAACUUCGGGAAACCGGAGCUAAUACCGGAUAAUAUAUUGAACCGCAUGGUUCAAUAGUGAAAGACGGUUUUGCUGUCACUUAUAGAUGGAUCCGCGCCGCAUUAGCUAGUUGGUAAGGUAGCGGCUUACCAAGGCAACGAUGCGUAGCCGACCUGAGAGGGUGAUCGGCCACACUGGAACUGAGACACGGUCCAGACUCCUACGGGAGGCAGCAGUAGGGAAUCUUCCGCAAUGGGCGAAAGCCUGACGGAGCAACGCCGCGUGAGUGAUGAAGGUCUUCGGAUCGUAAAACUCUGUUAUUAGGGGAGAACAAAUGUGUAAGUAACUAUGCACGUCUUGACGGUACCUAAUCAGAAAGCCACGGCUAACUACGUG